GGGCUAUUAGCUCAGUUGGUUAGAGCGCCGCUUUGGUAAGGCGGAAGUCAAAAGUUCAAAUCUUUUAUAGCCCA
rfam:Volvox carteri f. nagariensis unplaced genomic scaffold VOLCAscaffold_77, whole genome shotgun sequence.